rnacentral:tRNA from 1 species
GGUCCUAUGGUCUAGUGAUGAGGAUAUUGGACUCUAAAUCCAGUAACCUGAAGUUUUGAUAGGACUU